rnacentral:misc_RNA from 1 species
AACGCAUAUUGCGCCCGAGCCUCCGGGCAAGGGCAUGUCUGCCUCAGCGUCGGUUUAUACCCUCACUCCACCCCCCUAUGGGAGUGGUGCCUCUUCCCGCAAGGGAAUGCCGCGGAGUGGAUCUGGCCUCCCCAAUCUGUUGCCUCUGGCUCACGAUUGGGUUGGCUGAAGCACAGAGGCUAGAGCAAGGACCCUCAUGGGCUUCAACUGGAUAGGUAGAAUGGCUUCGGCCAACUACACGAAGUUGUGGCUUGGUGCCCUUGUUGGCGGCCAGCAGGAAAUUUCUAAACCUUCGACCUGAGCUCAGGCAGGGCUACCCGCUGAACUUAA